AAAGACGAGGCUGUUUACGAGAACGACACGGAGCUCAGAACAAUGAGGAGUACCAGCAGAGGGUGCUGUCAAAAUCCAACACAAGAAAACUCAAUCUAUGUCAACUGUGAGAGAAAAAAGACGUAGCUGUGAAGAAACUGUCAAUUCAGGCUUUAUAAAGCUGAACAACAUCAAACAGCUUUUUAUAUAUAUUUUAUAUUUACGUUUCUUUUGUUUAUUAUGAUAAUAG